rnacentral:tRNA from 1 species
GGUGCCAUAGCUCAGUUGCUAGCGCAAAGGACUGAAAAUCCUUGUGUCCCCGGUUCGAUUCCUGGUGGCACCA